AGUGCGACCCACUUUGGAAGUGUCUCUCGCGCAAACUAUUCAGUUUAGAAAAAAAUGAUAUUAGAAACCUCAAUAUCAUUUUUAAAGAUCUAUCCAUAGAUACCCCACACGUAUGGGUUUGAUGAAAAAAAAAAUUUUGAGUUUCACCCCUAAGUAUGGUGAACCCCCAAAAUUUAUUGUUUUUUUUUCUAUUUUUGUGUGAAAAUCUUAAUGCGGUUCACAGAAUACAUCUACUUACCAAGUUUCAACAGUAUAGUUCUUAUAGUUUCGGAAAAAAGUGGCUGUGACAUACACGGACAGACGGACAGACAUGACGAAUCUAUAAGGGUUCCGUUUUUUGCCAUUUGGCUACGGAACCCUAAAAACA